rnacentral:rRNA from 1 species
GACGAACGCUGGCGGCGCGCCUAACACAUGCAAGUCGAACGGAGCUGAGAGGAGCUUGCUUUUCUUAGCUUAGUGGCGAACGGGUGAGUAACGCGUGAGUAACCUGCCCUGGAGUGGGGGACAACAGUUGGAAACGACUGCUAAUACCGCAUAAGCCCACGAUCCGGCAUCGGAUUGAGGGAAAAGGAUUUAUUCGCUUCAGGAUGGACUCGCGUCCAAUUAGCUAGUUGGUGAGGUAACGGCCCACCAAGGCGACGAUUGGUAGCCGGACUGAGAGGUUGAACGGCCACAUUGGGACUGAGACACGGCCCAGACUCCUACGGGAGGCAGCAGUGGGGGAUAUUGCACAAUGGGGGAAACCCUGAUGCAGCGACGCCGCGUGGAGGAAGAAGGUUUUCGGAUUGUAAACUCCUGUCGUUAGGGACGAUAAUGACGGUAC